UCAUUCUGGGUGUGAUGCACUAAUGCAGGGACCUGUCCUACAACCUCUUCAAUGGAUCAAUUCCAGAAAGCCUUGGGCAGUUGACUUCUUUACAAAGAUUGAAUCUUAAUGGAAACUCCCUGUCUGGAAGAGUCCCUGAAGCACUUGGAGGAAGGCUUUUGCAUAGAGCUAGCUUCAAUUUCACUGACAACCCAGGUCUGUGUGGUAUCCCCGGAUUACCCACAUGCGGAACUCACCUUUCUGCUGGCGCUAAAGUUGGCAUUGGCUUAGGUGUUUGCUUUGCAUUUCUAUGUCUUGUUACCUGUUCAGUUUGUUGGUGGAAAAGGCGGCAAAAUAUUCUCCGAGCUAAGCAAAUUGCUGCAAGGGCAGCUCCAUAUGCAAAAGCAAGGACCCAUUUAUCUGAUAUCCAGUUGACAAAGCAUCAUCCCCACCCCCACCACCACCAUCACCACCACCACCACCAUCAUGGUAAUUCCCGCACUGCAGCUGAGAACGGCCCUAUAUUGCUAUCAUGAUCUCAUCUCAUCCUUUUCAUACAUCGUCAGCUCCAAGUAUUACUCUAUCUCCUCACUCCCAUAUUUUUUUCCCCUCCCAAAUCCAAGAAACUCCCUCCUAUAUUGGCUGAUCAUGUGACAUCUAGGUAGAAAUCUUGAAUACUAUGUUCUUUUGAUCAUAAGGCCAGAGUUUCUUGACUUGAGCUCGCUGAAUUCCCUAAUAUUUUAAACAGGCUGAGAACGCACACACUGCCAUUUUGUAAAUCAGAAAAUUUUGCACAUUGCCUUUGUUCACUUGUUUGCUUUUCUUUGUAUGGUUUAACUUUGUUAAGGGAUUUUUUUUUUUUUGGGAAAGACGGUGUUACAAAACGAAGGACUACACUGAUAGAAAUCACAGUGUUCAGUUUGUAAGAGAUGGAUUUUCAUUAUAUAGGCUGGGCUGUACUUCAACUAAUAAUACUAGAUUUAUUUCCACUAUGG